rnacentral:rRNA from 1 species
UACAGAGGUCUCAAGCGUCGUUCGGAAUUACUGGGCGUAAAGGGUGCGCAGGCCGCGCGGGCAGUCAAAUGUGUAAUUCAGGGGCUCAACCCCUGCACUGCGCUUGAUACUUCCGCGCUCGAGCUUUGGAGAGGAGUCUGGAAUUCUCGGUGUAGCAGUGAAAUGCGUGGAUAUCGAGAAGAACACUUAGGGCGUAGGCAAGACUCUGGACAAAUGCUGACGCUCAUGCACGAAGGCUAGGGUAGCGAACGGG